rnacentral:rRNA from 1 species
CCUACGGGUGGCAGCAGUGAGGAAUAUUGGUCAAUGGGCUAAGGCCUGAACCAGCCAAGUCGCGUGAGGGAAGACGGUCCUAUGGAUUGUAAACCUCUUUUGUCGGGGAGCAACGAGGCCACGUGUGGCCGAAGUGAGAGUACCCGAAGAAAAAGCAUCGGCUAACUCCGUGCCAGCAGCCGCGGUAAUACGGAGGAUGCGAGCGUUAUCCGGAUUUAUUGGGUUUAAAGGGUGCGUAGGCGGAACAUUAAGUCAGCGGUAAAAUCGAGGGGCUCAACCCCUUUAAGCCGUUGAAACUGGUGAUCUUGAGUGGGCGAGAAGUAUGCGGAAUGCGUGGUGUAGCGGUGAAAUGCAUAGAUAUCACGCAGAACUCCGAUUGCGAAGGCAUCUCACGAAUCCGCGAUUGACGCUGAUGCACGAAAGCGUGGGUAUCAAACAGGAUUAGAUACCCCAGUAGUC